rnacentral:rRNA from 1 species
UACGGAGGGUGCAAGCGUUAUCCGGAUUUACUGGGUUUAAAGGGUGCGUAGGUGGGCGAGUAAGUCAGUGGUGAAAUCUCCGGGCUUAACCCGGAAACUGCCAUUGAUACUAUUUGUCUUGAAUACUUUGGAGGUAAGCGGAAUAUGUCAUGUAGCGGUGAAAUGCUUAGAUAUGACAUAGAACACCAAUUGCGAAGGCAGCUUGCUACAGGAACAUUGACACUGAGGCACGAAAGCGUGGGGAUCAAACAGG